AUUCUCACGGCCGUCUGCCUUUAGCCUUUUCCCGAACGCCUCUCCUAUGAUUGGUUUUCCCUACACGGCCCGGGUGUUAGUAUGCUGCGCUCUCUCCCAUGUCACUAGUUUCAUAAAUAGAUUUUCCUAACGUCAUGCCAGAUAAUAGCAAUUGGUUCCCGUCGCUUCUGUUGAAUUCCUAAUAGGCUAGGAAGUUUGUUCCUCGAGGUAAUAUUGUGGUGAGCCUAUCCUACCUGGUUGCUUGUCCUAACCUUAGCAGCACCUACAUUAUUACCUCGUAAGUCAUUUGAGCAUUUAUUGAUAAGUUCUUACAUAUUUAGUAUUCUACAGUUCAUUCUAAUUUAACUUUAUCUUGUUUAAUUUUA